rnacentral:lncRNA from 1 species
UAAUUUUCUGCCGUCUUUUUCUGUUUGUGUGGAGGUUAUUUCCGUUAUUUCCUUUAUUAUUUCCGUUAUUUUUGUUAUUUCGGUUAUUGCGGUUAUUUCCGUUAUUUCCGUUGUUCUUCUUGCCCUGUCACCUAAUUUUCUGCCGUAUGUUUCUGUCUCUCUGGAGGUUAUUUCCGUUCUUUUAUUUUUUUCCGUUUUUUCCGUUUUUUCCGUUCUUUCCUUUCUUUCCGUUGUUAUUUUUGACCUGUCACGUAAUUUUGUGCUCUAUGUUUCUGUCUCUGUGGAGGUUAUUUCCGUUCUUUUAGUUUUUUCUGUUUUUUCCGUUUUUUCCGUUCUUUCCUUUCUUUCCGUUGUUAUUUUUGACCUGUCACGUAAUUUUGUGC